AACGAACGCUGGCGGCGCGCCUAAUACAUGCAAGUCGAGCGAGAAGACGUAGCAAUACGUUUGUAAAGCGGCGAACGGGUGAGGAAUACAUGGGUAACCUACCCUCGAGUGGGGAAUAACUAGCCGAAAGGUUAGCUAAUACCGCGUACGCUCCUUGGACUUCGGUUCAGGGAGGAAAGCGAUACCGUGGGUAUCGCGCUCUUGGAUGGGCUCAUGUCCUAUCAGCUUGUUGGGAGGUAACGGCUCACCAAGGCUUCGACGGGUAGCUGGUCUGAGAGGACGAUCAGCCACACUGGCACUGCGACACGGGCCAGACUCCUACGGGAGGCAGCAGUAAGGAAUAUUGCGCAAUGGGCGAAAGCCUGACGCAGCGACGCCGCGUGGGGGAGUGAAGGU
rnacentral:rRNA from 1 species